rnacentral:rRNA from 1 species
CCUACGGGGGGCACCAGUGGGGAAUAUUGCGCAAUGGGCGCAAGCCUGAUGCAGCCAUGCCGCGUGUGUGAAGAAGGCCUUCGGGUUGUAAAGCACUUUCAGCGAGGAGGAAGGUGGUGAACUUAAUACGUUCAUCAAUUGACGUUACUCGCAGAAGAAGCACCGGCUUACUCCGUGCCAGCAGCCGCGGUAAUACGGAGGGUGCAAGCGUUAAUCGGAAUUACUGGGCGUAAAGCGCACGCAGGCGGUUUGUUAAGUCAGAUGUGAAAUCCCCGGGCUCAACCUGGGAACUGCAUUCGAAACUGGCAAGCUAGAGUCUCGUAGAGGGGGGUAGAAUUCCGGGUGUAGCGGUGAAAUGCGUAGAGAUCUGGAGGAAUACCGGUGGCGAAGGCGGCCCCCUGGACGAAGACUGACGCUCAGGUGCGAAAGCGUGGGGAGCAAACAGGAUUAGAUACCCCUGUAGUC